rnacentral:rRNA from 1 species
UGAGGAAUAUUGGUCAAUGGGCGCAAGCCUGAACCAGCCAUCCCGCGUGCAGGAAGACGGCCCUUUGGGUUGUAAACUGCUUUUCCAGGGGGAGAAUUUUUCUGUCGUGACUGGAAUUGACGGUACCCUGGGAAUAAGCAUCGGCUAACUCCGUGCCAGCAGCCGCGGUAAUUCGGAGGAUGCGAGCGUUAUCCGGUUUUUUUGGGUUUAAAGGGUGCGUAGGCGGAUUGAUAAGUCAGUGGUGAAAACCUGCAGAGUAACUGUAGACAUGACGUUGAUACUGUCAGUCUUGAGUGUGGUCAAGGUAGGCGGAAUGUGUAAUGUAGCGGUGAAAUGCUUAGAUAUUACACAGAACACCGAUUGAGAAGGCAGCUUACUGGGCCAUUACUGACGCUGAGGCACGAAAGCGUGGGGA